ACACGGCCCCGACGCCUAAGGGCGGCAGCAGUGAGGAAUCUUCCGCAAUGGGCGAAAGCCUGACGGAGCGACGCCGCGUGGGGGAAGAAGGCCGAAAGGUCGUAAACCCCUUUUCCCGGGGACGAGGAAGGACGGUACCCGGGGAAUAAGUCCCGGCUAACUACGUGCCAGCAGCCGCGGUAAUACGUAGGGGGCAAGCGUUACCCGGAUUCACUGGGCGUAAAGGGCGCGCAGGUGGCUCCGUAAGUCGGGCGUGAAAGCUCUAGGCUCAACCUGGAGAGGUCGUCCGAUACUGCGGGGCUUGAGGACGGGAGAGGGAGGUGGAAUUCCCGGUGUAGCGGUGAAAUGCGCAGAUAUCGGGAGGAACACCAGUGGGGAAGCCGGCCCCCUGGCCUGCUCCUGACGCUGAGGCGCGAAAGCGUGGGGAGCGAAGGGGAUUAGAUACCCCCGUAGUCCACGCCUUAAACGAUGGGUGCUAGGUGUGGGGGGUUUAAAAACCCUCCGUGCCGAAGCUAACGCGAAGAACCUUACCCGGGCUUGACAUGCCGGUAGUAGCGACCCGAAAGGGGAGCGAGCCCCCUUGUGGGGCAGCCGGCACAGGUGCUGCAUGGCUGUCGUCAGCUCGUGCCGUGAGGUGUUGGGUUAAGUCCCGCAACGAGCGCAACCCUCGCCCCUAGUUACACGUGUCUAGGGGGACUGCCGGCGAUAAGCCGGAGGAAGGUGGGGACGACGUCAAGUCAGCAUGGCCUUUAUGCCCGGGGCUACACACACGCUACAAUGGCCGGUACAAAGGGUAGCGAACCCGCGAGGGGGAGCUAAUCCCCAAAAGCCGGCCUCAGUUCGGAUUGCAGGCUGCAACCCGCCUGCAUGAAGCCGGAGUCGCUAGUAACCGCGGAUCAGCCAUGCCGCGGUGAAUACGUUCCCGGGCCUUGUACACACCGCCCGUCACGUCAUGGGAGCCGGCAACACUUGAAGUCGGUAGUCUUAACCCGACAAGGGAGGGUGCCGUCCGAAGUGUGUGGUC
rnacentral:rRNA from 1 species